rnacentral:misc_RNA from 1 species
AAUUGUGUCAGCUGAAUCACCAUAUGUUUUUUCUUUGACAGAUGGUAGAAAUAGUGAUGUGGCAAUGGAGAUUGGUGUGGUUAAGGAGAGGGUUGAAAUGGAAGCUUUUGUUGCUCUAUUUAAUCAAGGUUUUGAUUCUCUUUGAAAUCAUAGGAUUAUUUCCCAAGGAUGAUUAAUGAUUGAUUGGUGUUCUCAGUUUUGG